CGCGAAGGAUCAUUAGUGAAUAACAUGUCAAAGUCUCUGUUUCGGCAAGGCUUUGACAAUCACAUCCAUAACACCUGUGAACUGUAAGAUGCUUAGUGUUUCGGCACGGCAUCUGCCCUUUAUAAACAAUUAAUGUAACAAAUGUAGUCUUAUUAUAAUCAAUAAAACUUUCAACAACGGAUCUCUUGGCUCUCGCAUCGAUGAAGAACGCAGC
rnacentral:rRNA from 1 species